rnacentral:rRNA from 1 species
UACAGAGGUCCCGAGCGUUGUUCGGAUUCAUUGGGCGUAAAGGGUGCGUAGGCGGCUUCCUAAGUUUGAUGUGAAAUCCCGGGGCUCAACCCUGGAAUUGCAUUGAAUACUGGGAGGCUAGAGUACUGGAGAGGAAACUGGAAUUUACGGUGUAGCAGUGAAAUGCGUAGAGAUCGUAAGGAAGACCAGUGGCGAAGGCGAGUUUCUGGACAGUAACUGACGCUGAGGCACGAAGGCCAGGGGAGCAAACGGG